rnacentral:rRNA from 1 species
UGAAGGAGAUUAAAGAUUUAUCGGUGAUGGAUGGGGAUGCGUCUGAUUAGCUUGUUGGCGGGGUAACGGCCCACCAAGGCUACGAUCAGUAGGGGUUCUGAGAGGAAGGUCCCCCACAUUGGAACUGAGACACGGUCCAAACUCCUACGGGAGGCAGCAGUGAGGAAUAUUGGUCAAUGGACGAGAGUCUGAACCAGCCAAGUAGCGUGCAGGAUGACGGCCCUAUGGGUUGUAAACUGCUUUUAUAAGGGAAUAAAGUGAGUCUCGUGAGGCUUUUUGCAUGUACCUUAUGAAUAAGGACCGGCUAAUUCCGUGCCAGCAGCCGCGGUAAUACGGAAGGUCCGGGCGUUAUCCGGAUUUAUUGGGUUUAAAGGGAGCGUAGGCCGGAGAUUAAGCGUGUUGUGAAAUGUAGAUGCUCAACAUCUGCACUGCAGCGCGAACUGGUUUCCUUGAGUACACACAAAGUGGGCGGAAUUCGUGGUGUAGCGGUGAAAUGCUUAGAUAUCACGAAGAACUCCGAUUGCGAAGGCAGCUCACUGGAGCGCAACUGACGCUGAAGCUCGAAAGUGCGGGUAUCGAACAGGAUUAGAUACCCUGGUAGUCCGCACGGUAAACGAUGGAUGCCCGCUGUUGGUCUGAAUAGGUCAGCGGCCAAGCGAAAGCAUUAAGCAUCCCACCUGGGGAGUAC